rnacentral:sRNA from 1 species
GUUCCUGGUGCUGAGGACGGACGCCAUUGGAGCCCCCGAGAAGGCUGAGCUCUCAUCUCCCUGGGACCCGCAGCAUGGCUGAGGGAAGCUUCAGCGUGCAAUCGGAAAACUACAGUGUUGAAGACAUGGAUGAGGGUAGCGACGAAGUCGGGGAGGAAGAGAUGGUUGAAGGCAACGACUAUGAAGAAUUCGGUGCGUUUGGUGGCUAUGGCACCCUCACCAGCUUUGACAUCCAUAUCCUCAGAGCCUUCGGAAGCUUGGGUCCAGGCCUUCGCAUCUUAUCGAAUGAGCCCUGGGAACUGGAAAACCCUGUGCUGGCCCAGACCCUGGUGGAGGCAUUGCAGCUGGAUCCGGAAACACUUGCCAAUGAGACGGCCGCCCGUGCUGCCAACGUAGCCCGCGCCGCCGCCUCCAACCGUGCGGCUCGGGCCGCUGCCGCCGCUGCCCGUACCGCCUUCAGUCAGGUGGUCGCUAGCCACCGGGUGGCCACGCCGCAGACCUCCCAGAUGUUAGUCACCAGUAAGAUGGCUGCCCCCGAGGCUCCGGCAACCUCCGCACAGUCCCAGACAGGCUCCCCGGCCCAGGAGGCUGCUACUGAGGGCCCUAGUAGCGCCUGUGCUUUCUCUCAGGCUCCGUGUGCCAGGGAGGUGGACGCCAACCGGCCCAGCACAGCCUUCCUGGGCCAGAAUGAUGUCUUUGAUUUCACUCAGCCGGCAGGUGUCAGUGGCAUGGCCUUCCCGCGCCCCAAGAGACCUGCCCCAGCCCAAGAGGCUGCCACAGAGGGCCCCAGUGCUGCCUCUGGUGUGCCCCAGACGGGACCUGGCAGGGAGGUGGCAGCCACCCGGCCCAAGACCACCAAGUCGGGGAAGGCGCUGGCCAAGACUCGGUGGGUGGAGCC